rnacentral:rRNA from 1 species
ACCGCCUGUCCCGGACCCCUCUGCACGGCGCCCCCCGGAUGCCCUUAACUGGGUGUCCGGUCCUCGGGGCCCGAAGCGUUUACUUUGAAAAAAUUAGAGUGUUCAAAGCAGGCCGCCCGUCGCCGCUGAAUACCGCAGCUAGGAAUAAUGGAAUAGGACUCCGGUUCUAUUUUGUGGGUUUCUGGAACCCGGGGCCAUGAUUGAGAGGGACGCGCGGGGGCAUUCGUAUUNGC